GUGCAGGCGUACAAUCAUGAGCAGCUUACGACACUCAGUGAACACUGGGUGCCUCUGCAUGCUCUAGCAACAUACUGCUCAGCUGAAGGGAAGGGAUUCUUGCUGUCUCUCUCUGCUCUAAGCAUCACCUAACAAGCAAAGCGAACAAAGAAUGGGAAAUAAAGCGACCCUUAACCGGUCAGUGAAUGAAUGGUAACCUCUCUCUGGAGUAAAGGUUGUGCCGGUCAAUGGUCGUUGCAAAUGACGGACAUUAAACAGAUUGACAAAUCCUGUGGAGUCGUUAGUAAAGAGUUUGGAGUUUUUUUCACGCCACAGUGUUAACUGCAGAGGAAAGGACAGAGGGAGAAGGAGAAGAUCAAGCUCAUGUACAUAGUUCUGAAACUUGCAGGUCCUAGGAGGCAGCUCAAAAGCUAGCUGGACAAGCCUUUCGCUCGUUGAGCAGAAGCGAAGUGAGACAUUGUGAGCUUGCCAGCCUUGCACAACAUUGAAAGGGACUGAAUUUGUAGCACAGAGGGGUCUUUUUUAGCUCUGCAUAUAAUUAGUCCAAACACAAAGGAAGCAACUGAAUGGAGGUUGUCACUCUCUGGAAAAGGGUGCAGUGAUUUCCUAAGUGGGAGCUGAUUUCGGUGUUGCCUGUUGCCAUUUCUCCUGAAGAGAGGUGAUGACCAGCAAUGACUUGCCACCCUGAGCAGGAUGAUGGAUGGAUGGAUGGAUCCUCCACGUGGAGCACAGCCCUUAUUAAAGGAUGUGUUUCAAAAUCUUCAUGCAGAAAUCUUUUCUGAGGGUAAUCUCUUCUAGAGACAACCUCCUAGUGGUCCCCAGAGGACAUCUGGAGAUCCUGACUCUCUGAAUAUUCACUGGUGAAAAGAAGGGUAUCACUGCUGUUACCUGGCAGUACCACAGGGUACCCACAUCUAGUCUGAAAGUUUACAUGAAAUAUAUGUGGGUAAUAAAGAAAUAAAAGAGCCACUAUGUCAUUUCAAUCUAGCUAUUGCAAAUCCAGUUAUUCAUCCUGCUCCAGGCUAUUUCCAUUGGUAUAUAUGGGAGUUAUCAUAUUUGUACUGCAUUUAUGGCAACUGCAGGGACAAAUUUUCCCUAACUCUUUCUUCCAAAUUUUGUGUUCAACAGCUGUCCAGAGAUAAGUCAUUCCCUCUCUUUGAUGCCCUUAUUCUGGCAAUAUUAAAUGGCUCCAAAUCAAAAGGAAAAAAAAAAAAAAAAAAGAUUCUUUUGGGGUUAGUUGUGACAGUUUUGUCCAAGAGAUGCUUGGGGAAUAUCAAAGGAAGGAAAAUAUUUUCAAUAUUCCCUUUCUAAUGCUCUACUUAAUAGGACUAAUCUCCCUUUUAUAAUGAGGUAAUUAGCAUUAUUUUCUUUAUAUUUAACUGUCUUUUUAAACACAAGACAGGGUGAAAGGCAAACAAAAGAACUACCUUUUUUGAGGCUGGUUAACAGUACCAGUGUUAUAGAUCUCUAACAUGCAAUCUCUUGCUGCUCACAUCAAUACCCACUCACAGUGCACCCAGUGCUGAAGGAACUGUUGCUGUGUAUGCUCUGAAUGUAUAUAAGGGAUGAUUUAUUUUCCUUUCUGUCUUUUUCUUUCCUUCCUUUCUGUACUACUUAAAAAAAAAAAUAAUUACAUGAAACCACAGAAUCAAUGCUGAUGUACCACAUUCUGUUUCUGCCCUGAAAAUAUAAAAUACAAAGAUAUUCUGUGUUAAAGCUGCAAAUUCCCUCCUUUGCCAUGCUGUCUGGGUACUGCAAGGGGUCAGACCAAGGGAUGCCCCCUCCCUCUGUGGUCACAGCAAUAGCUGAAGAUGCAGCCCCUAGUUCAGAGCUGCCUUGCAAACCUGUGCCAGAGAAAGACCAUUAACCAUACCUGAGGAUAUUUUUGUAUGCUUUAAUAUAUUCUGUAUAUGUUUUUAUGGCUAAGGCAUCGAGGGGUAGUUGAAAUGAGUCUGUUUGAUCAUUUUCUUUGGUUCUGAUAAAAAAAAAAACAACAACAAUUCAUUUGCUAUUCAGAUGAACUAAAUUUGUUCCUUGUGUGUGUCUCAUUCUGCAUUAAAAGCAAAAGGACUCCCUGAAUCCCUCUCCCUUCCCCCCCCCAGCUUCUCCAAUGGUAUUCAGAGUGGCAACUAAGGAGUAUUUAAUGAGGAAGCUUAUUUCUAAUGCUAUAACAGUAAUAGCAGUAAUAAUAACGAAAUUAAAAGGAGACAAAAGAUAAAAGACUGGAGUAACAACAACUAAA